ACGGCGAGUGAAGCGGGAAGAGCUCAAAUUUGAAAUCUGGUAGCCUUCGGUUGCCCGAGUUGUAAUCUAGAGAAGUGUUUUCCGCGUUGGCCCAUGUACAAGUCCCUUGGAACAGGGCGUCAUAGAGGGUGAGAAUCCCGUCCUUGACAUGGACCCCCAAUGCUUUGUGAUACACUUUCAACGAGUCGAGUUGUUUGGGAAUGCAGCUCAAAAUGGGUGGUGAAUUCCAUCUAAAGCUAAAUAUUGGCGAGAGACCGAUAGCGAACAAGUACCGUGAGGGAAAGAUGAAAAGCACUUUGGAAAGAGAGUUAAACAGUACGUGAAAUUGUUGAAAGGGAAACGAUUGAAGUCAGUCAUGCUCUUUGGAUUAAGCCGUUCUGCGGUGUAUUUCAUUGAGCGGGGUCAACAUCAGUUUUGAUCGCUGGAAAAGGGCAGGAGGAAGGUAGCACUCUCGGGUGAACUUAUAGCCUCUUGUCGUAUACAGUGAUUGGGACUGAGGAACGCAGCAUGCCUUUUGGCCGGGAUUCGUCCACGUACAUGCUUAGGAUGU
rnacentral:rRNA from 1 species